rnacentral:rRNA from 1 species
GUGCCAGCAGCCGCGGUAAUACGAGGGAUCCUAGCGUUGUUCGGAAUCAUUGGGCGUAAAGGGUGUGUAGGCGGCCAUGUAAGUCAGUUGUGAAAGCCCCGGGCUCAACCCGGGAAGUGCUUCUGAUACUGCUUGGCUUGAGUAUUGGAUAGGUGAGUGGAAUUCCAGGUGUAGUGGUGAAAUACGUAGAUAUCUGGAGGAACACCGGCGGCGAAGGCGGCUCACUGGCCAUAUACUGACGCUGAAACACGAAAGCGUGGGUAGCAAACAGGAUUAGAUACCCCCGUAGUCC